rnacentral:tRNA from 1 species
AUCCUGUAGCGCAGAGGAUAGCGCGUCGGAUUUCUAAUCCAAAGGUUGUGGGUUCCAAUCCCACCUGGGAUG